rnacentral:misc_RNA from 1 species
GCUUGAUGAUGCAUUGAGUGCAACAAGGUUGCAGGACGGCCGGAUUAAACUUUGGAUACAUAUUGCAGAUCCUACUAGUUUAGUUCAGCCAGGAAGCAUAAUAGACAAGGAUGCAAGAAGAAGAGGAACUUCAGUAUUCUUGCCUACUGCAACAUAUCCAAUGUUCCCUGAGAGGUUGGCCAUGGAAGGCAUGAGUCUGCAGCAAGGAAAGUUGUGUAAUGCUGUUUCUGUGUCUG